CAGACUCCUCGCUGUCACUACAGAGCCCGAUGGGAGCGUAGAACCCAUGAACCUUGAGAUCAUGACCUGAGCCAAAGUUGGACACUCAACCAAUUGAGCCACCCAGGUGCCCCUUGAUACGCAUUUUAAUUCAACUAAGGAUAAAUAUGGUGACUUCUCAUGUCUAAUUGACUUGUUAACUCUUGAAAUUCAUCUUUCUCUUCCCUGUUUGGAGCCUAAGUGACAAUGUGCAGGGAGUUGCCAUCUCUUAAGACAUCAGGAGGAGGAACCCAUCACCAGAGUAGAGGGAAUGAAAUGAGUGUAAUUUUACAUAGAAAUGGUUAGGAAACAAGUGAUGAUAUGGGCCUGAGGUUUGGAGUGAGUACUUUGCCAUGACCCGGCUCUUGGUGACAUGUGAAAAUGAGAAAACACUCUAUCUACAAGCCUAUCAAGAAGCCUAAGCUUAGAGACGAAGCUAGAUAUUGCCAGGUAGGGUGUGCGUCACAAGAGAGGUUUAAACCAUGGUUUGAGUCUGAGGUGGAGGGAGCUGUUCAUGCCAGGGUAGAAUGAGUGGAAAUGAAUUUGUUGCAAAUGGGGGUAAUGUACUCUGCAUGGGCUCCAUAGACUGUGGUGAUUCUAUGGUGCUGUCUGUUGAGAGCCAGGGUGGCUGCCUGACGCUUAGAAAGCCCUCAAAUUGAGGCUGGUGUUUAUUCCUUUGAAUGCAGCGGUGGUGGCAGUGAGAAGAGUGAUCUCACGGCAUGAGAGCUCUCACACUGGGCCAACAGAAGAGAAGUUUGCACUUUAUGGUCGGAUGAGAUGAUUAAUCCCGGUUAGAGGAGUCUGUUCUAGAACUUACAUGUGUUAUCCACCUGUAAUUGGGUGCUUCAUGUGUGUUGAAUAAUAUUCCUGUAAGGUUGGAGGGUAACAUUCUCAUGUUGGGAUGAAACAAGUUUGUCUUCUAGGAAUUGCCAUUAAUCCAGAUCCUCCAGCCACUAAGUGUAAAGCUGAGAUGGUACCUGUAUGUUUGAUUCCAAAGACCUUGUCCUCCAGGGCCCCCAGUCUCGGGUUCAUGAAAGGCAAUCUGUGAGCAGCAGGAAGUCAUCCAAGGCCUUUGAGUAGUCAGUCAGUCAGCAGUUUGAGCUUUCCUUGUGUGGAAUUCCAAAUAGCACCUGGGGGGUCUAAGUGGCUCAAAUCGAGACUACAUGAUGGUUUUUUGUUUUUGUUUGUUCCUUUAUUUGCAGGGACCUAUCUAUCUGUACCUUAAUAAUUGGAGGAGAGAAAUGUAAGUUGAUAGGAUUUGAUUUUUCUGUUUCAUCUCUGGUGGUGACCUAAGUAUUUGAAGUGAUUGAAUUCUCCAAGAAGGGUGCUUCCAGAUGGGAGAAAAAUUAGAAGAUAUUUUAUUGUGUUUCUCCAUUUUGGACAAUAUUUUAAAUAGGAAUCUCAUUGAAAUAAGGUUUUCUUAGGUUUAAAAUGCUGCUAAAACUUCAUUUCUUCAGGCACGACGGGAAAGCUAAAAUGUUAGUUACACCCACCUGUCAGAUCCUGUGUCUGUGCUGCUCAUACAUUGGGAUUAUUCGAUGUCACUGGUUUGGUAACAACCUUAGAACAUGUCUUAUCUCCUUUUAGUUAGUUUACAGUGAAUAACUGAGAAGAUCAAUACUUUUAAGAAAGAAAACAGAGAACUUUACUUGCUGAAGAAAUAUCCAUUUGGGAACAGAAGGUAGCAUUGCCCUUUCAAAUAUUUUUUGUGAUUUCAUUUUGGUUACUUCCACUCUGGAAGAUCAUCCUACUGACCUAUUUCAUGUGUUUUGUAAACAGUACCAAUUCAAGACAAGCUUCACGAAUGUAAAGAGCUACCUCUUUAUUUGUGAAAGGAGUCAUACAUUAGAAGACAGGUUUAUCUAGCACUAUGCCUUUUUAAAAAAUUCUGAUUCCUUUUUCGUGUUUUAUACAACAGUGAAUUAAGGAAAUGUCUUCAGGAAACUAAGAGAGAAAGUAAGUUUCUCUCUGAUGAAGCUCUUAAAUUGAAGAAAUAAAAAGGCCCUGGAAGACAAGUGUAAUGCAUUGAGGUCUGUGAAAGCAACAAAGGAAACAGAAGUCAAACAGCUGAAGGAGAAAGCACAUAACCUGGAAGAAUUCUAUGAACAAAGAAAAGUGCCUACAGAAAAGAAGCUGAAAAUGACACUGUGAACUGGCGGCAAAGAAGAAUCAGCUGGCAGCUGCAGGCAACAAAUUGAACAAACACGGGAACAGCUGCAGCAGGCAGAGCUCACCUUUAGACACCAGGUAACCUGAAUUCUGCCUGACAUACUGAACCCUUAGCACCUCACGCGGGUGAGUGUAGUGGCCCGUGGGAUCCCUAAACAUGGGCUUUUCAUUGUUGGCUUUUUCAGCUCGCAGUUCAUGAGAAGAAUGCUUAGGACAACUAGGUUCUUGUUUCCUCCUCUUUCUUUGGUGCGCACUCUGGCACGACUGAAGGUGGAUGUGUUUUUUCUCCCCCAGAUCAAGACUCAGAUCUGGGACAGGGAGAUGGUGGAGCAGGGCAGGGAGGUCGCUUACUUGAAAUACAGGUGUGGUCAUUUGACUUGUGUUUUUAUGGGUGUUUCCAGGGAUGACGCCUGCACUGUUAGUUGUCUAGUAGACGACGUGGUGUUGCAACUCUUAUAGAAAGAAGUCCAUUAUUUUUGUGUAUCCAAGACUGGACGGGAUGGAAGCAAAGAGGCUGCCUGAGGGAUACACAAGGCAGAAACCAAUGGCUGCAAGACCAGAGAUGCAGAACCCUCCAAAGAGAGCAUUCCCCUGUCUGAAGAGCCUGGAAAGGAUGACGGGACAUGGGCCUCAUCCUUCUUCCCACCCGGACUCAAUGCGAAGACUUCAGUUUAUUUGAGGAGAAGGUCAUUUAUUCACUAUUUUUAACGGUCUUUAUUUUUGUUUGUUUUUGGGAACUGUAGCCCUGCAUCCCUCAAUUCAAAUUCCAUAUGGGGCGCCUGGGUGGCGCAGUCGGUUAAGCGUCCGACUUCGGUCAGGUCGCGAUCUCGCGGUCCGUGAGUUCGAGCCCCGCAUCAGGCUCUGGGCUGAUGGCUCGGAGCCUGGAGCCUGUUUCCGAUUCUGUGUCUCCCUCUCUCUCUGCCCCUCCCCCGUUCAUGCUCUGUCUCUCUCUGUCCCAAAAAUAAACGUUGAAAAAAAAAAUUCCAUAGAGCUUAGCUUAGUCCUCUGAUGGUAUCAGUGCAACCCUGAAGCUUCACUGCUAACUUCUCAUAGUUCUCCUUUUCUCAAUAGUGUAAAAUUAGUCUUUUGUUAUAUAAUAACUGCUGUCAUGUGGAAGGCAGCUUGUAGAUAAGCUGAGAGAUUGAACAAUUCGCCUGAAGUCUGAGGAAACUUACCCUUCUUGAGGAUUCAUUGAGGAUAUACACCAAACCAGUAUUCUCAACUUUAUUCUUUUUUUUCUAGGUUUAUUUAUUUUGAUAGAGACAUAGUAUGUCUGGGAGGCAUAGAGUGAGAGGCAGAGACAGAACCCCAAGCAGGAUCCACACUGUCAGUGAGGAACCCAAUGCUGGGCUCGAAUUCACAAGCUGUGAGAUCAUGACCUGAGCCAAAAUCAAGAGUUGUGUGCUUAACCCAAGCAUUAGCAUUGAGCCACCCAAACGUGCUCAUAUUUAUUCUUAAUCUGUAAUGAAAUGGUGAUUCCCAUGAUGUAUACUGAGAAACCUCUGUUUUACAGAUGAAUUCUAAAUUGCUAGUUGAGCCUGACCUGUCCAUAGUUAUUUGAUUAAUUAUGAAACAACAUGGACCAGGACACCGUGAGGUCUUUAUCAAGGUGAGGGGAUGGUUCUCCCCCUUAUCCUUGGGGGUCACUCAAGGCAUGUGGGAUACCCUCUGCCUCUGGUCAGGGACCUGAGUGUAGGGAAAAGAUUAAGAUAUUUGAGGAAGGAGAUGAGGGAUUGUUUUCAUUCUGCAAAUUCCUCUAAUAGCAGAAUAAACCUCUGUCCCUUCUAGGGUCUUUGGUAGAUCCAGAAACUGCUGAAACCUCUGUGAGUUAGAGCAGCUCUGACUGUACCAAGAAUGCAGACAAGGACAAGGUAAAUGCUGGGGCCAUUCUCAGUUGUAACUCUUUUGGGAAACUCUCAUCUUUAUGUACAGCACGCUCUCCCGGCCUUGUCUCAUUUUGCGUGUUGUGUGAUAUGUCUGUUUUCCAAACGCACACUCAUAACCCAGGAGCCCACAGGCUUCUCAGUUUUUAGUUUGUCAGCUUUCUGCGGUAAGUUUAGAAGCCAAAAGUGCUCAGAGACUGAGUACCUUAAUGUUUUUCCUUGAGUUUCAGGAAAUAAUGAGGAGGAGGAUGACUCCACACUCCAAACAAAGGUCUCCUGGCCUGGGUGACGCCUUCCAGACCUCACCUCUGUGGGAACAGUGUGGCUGCUGUGUCUUCCUUUCUUGAUUCUGGCUAGGAGAUGAACCUGUUAGAAACGACAUCGUGACUCCAACUUUAUAUUUUGUGCCCUGUGCCAUUUAGAGCGGUCAUAGAGAAAGCCAAUGUCAUCACUCAUCACCUUUCCAUCUUUGUUGGUAAAUGACUUGUCUGGAAUCCUCCAGCUAUACCUUAGGUAAAAAUAGUUUGAACACUGUGUCCUUCAAUUGUGUUUCUAUGAGCAGUUUCUGGUUUUGUCCCGUCACUGUUAGAGCUGAUACAGUCUCAUGACACAUACCAGGAGUUUUAUACCAGAACACUUGCAUGAAAUCUGUUAUGUGAAUUUCUCCCUCUUUUUUUCCAUUGUACAUAAUGACUCUGUGUCCUGUCGUAUGCUUAAAGUCAGAAUUCCCUAUGAAUUAAGAUGAACACAUCUGAGCUUUGUAGACAUUCACCACAAGUAACUCGUUCUUCACAGAAGACUCUCCUUCCCCUGCAAGAUUCCAGGCAUCCUCCACUGCCCAGAGGUCUCUGAGCCUUUGACAACACUUCAAGAGGGAAGACUCCUUUCUCAGGGAGAGGAGCAGAGAAGGCACAGCGAGGGUCCGGCUGCAGAACCUUUUGCCAGGAGUGGCUGUGAUUCCAUGAGCAGAAUAUGAGCCGUUUAUUCCCACUCAUUUUUUUUGUGUUCUUAAUAUACCCAAAGCAGAGCAUCUGGAGUCGCCGUAGAGGAGGGAUGCAGGGUGAACCUGGACAUCGAUGGCUGCAUGUCGGGAGAAUGCUACUUCAUUAAUCUGUAAUUACUUCUGUUAAUCCUCUAGGACAGGACCCUUGCCAGUUUACUUCUGCAGACAUGGGCAGUGAUGUGUGGUGGCAUCCAGUGGCAGGGACAGAGUUUUCAGGGCAGUCUGGAUCCUGGGGACCUCCUCCGUUAACUGGACGAUUCUGUAUGCCCUACCCUGGAGACGCCCUGCCCCCAUGGACUAUUAGGCACGUCCACCUCCUGAACCUUAGUGGCCCUGAGGCCACCCGGAACCCCUCCACCUGCAACACUUGGUAAGAUAAUCUGAGCACUAGGAGUUGACUUGUAAAACACACUCACCUUAUUUUUGUUGCUGUUAGGUCUUGGGCCAAGGUGCAGAGGAGGUACCACAGACCAUUGUGAUGCAAGGGGAACGUCUGCUGCCAUUACCACAUUCCUCAAGUUUCUCAGGAUCUCAUCUUUGUCAUUUCCCCCAUCAUGGGUCCAGGAGCAGGUGUCACACCCAAGAGUGACAUCAACACUGGCUCUGCCAAAACUGCCGAGAAACACAAGGCUAUUAUGUAUUCAAGAGGGCCUGGUCCUUUCCCAGGAUCGCCUUGCAGGCUGUUCCCCAUGGACCACCCUUCACCACCAGUCAUGGGCUAUAGGCCACGUCCCCCUCCACCACCAGCUCCUCCACCUCCUCUAUUUGUUAAGAUGACCUGAACCGGAUGAGAGGCUGGUAAAGUAUAUUCAUCUUCUUCACGAUUGACUUUGUGGGAAUGAUGUAGAGAUGGCUGUGAGUCUCGGCAAUGCAACUACCAACUGCCUGAGGACACUGUAGCAUAUCUCAAGUUUCUCAGGACAUGCAUACAAUGGGCAGUGUCAUUUCCCUGUAAUACGGUGAGCUAUACAUUUCUCUUGUCAAAUGAAAGGAUUUUUUACACAAAAGCAGACGUAUCAGCAGCACUGGUGCAUAUUUUGGAGACACAAUAUUUUGGGUUCUGUAAAGAAUGAGGCGCACCCCUAACUUUUAGAGCAUCAGGUGUCCUGUGUGAAAGAGGGACAUGCAUUAAAUGACGCAGACCUUGUGAUCACCAUAAUGGAAACACCGGUGAAGGAUCCAGUGCAAAAAUGGGGGAACCUUGAAUCAUACAGGAAUAGAAGGGAAGUUGAGCACAGUAAGCAGAGUUUGAGGAGGUGCAGAGGGGAAGGUGUUGGGGUUAGUGAGAUGCAGUUGGAGGUCAUUCCUGGCCACAGCCUGAGCAGGGAGUGUGAGGUCCACACAGAGCUGCUAUGUGGGGUCGCUCUCAGUGCACAAUGCAGUGUUCAUCUCCAAAAUGUCAGUGUGUUGCCAAAGUGCAUGCAGGUAAUCAUCUAAAAAGAUUGUCUCCCUGGAUUUUCCUGAAGGUUCUGGGUAUUUGUGGGGGAAAAAAAGCCCUGGAGAUAUGGGGAAUUUAACUUGGUGUUAUGAAAAUGCUGUAUGCCCAAGUUCAUAUCCCUCAGUGAGACUAGAAGUGGAGACAGGAUCUAGAUCAGCUGAGUGCCUGCAUUGGCCUUCAGCCUGAGUCAGACUCAGGCCCACUUAGUGGGUCAACCUACAAUUCAGGGUUGGCCAGAAGCUGCCCCCGCUGGACCCCUGUCAUCACCCUGACUACAGCUUUGCAUCUCCUCAGACUUCUCUCACAAUAUCCUGAGGCUUUGCCUGUGUUCCUGCUGUCUCAGCCCUAGUACCAGUUCUCAGUGGGACCUACACAGAGUCUCAGCUGUGUUUUCUGCGAAAACAGGGGUAAUAUUUGUUUCUAAGAACAUUUUAAAAAGAAGACAUUAUAUACAUAAAGCAUCUGCAAAAUCUCUGGGAAGUGUGCACUCACCCUUCUCACAGUUUCAAUUGAGAUAUCUCCACACAAAGGUCCUCCAAAAAAGAUGGUCACCGAAGUUCAUUAAACUAAGACUGUUAACAACUCAGCCCAGGGAUUGGGAAUCACGGUUUUAAACAGUAAGGUAAGGUCCCUUGUUUUUCUGUUAAAAUUCGGGCCCUUCCAGGCAAAGAAAGAAAAGAUAAUUAUGAGCCUGUGUACAUUCAGAGAUCCAGAUCUGAAGACAAUCAUUUUCCAUUACAUAUAAUCUCACAGAUGCAGCCACACACUAAAGUGUUCAUCUGAGGUCACAGCCACAGAUAAACUACAGAAGACAGAAUGCAUGUAGGAAGACAUAAGAUCAGAGGGAAAUACCCAAAAUCUCUUUGCCUUAUAGGACAACUCUUUUGAAAUUUGAAGAGGACUGUGCACGGUGACAGACUAUGGUGUUGUGUUUGUAUAUACAUUUUAAGAAGGUGUCAGAUCUGCCUGAAUGCUUUCCCUGCCCAUCCUGUCCCCUCCACUUUGUCCUUCCUACUGUCCCCUAACCCACCUUUCAUCGUUUUCUGUGUCGGCGUCUGCUUCUAGACCCAUCUACUCUCAAUCCCCAUCGAGUGCACACAGUGGGGUUCCUGUACACACAGGUAACAAACUGGCAGAAAUAGAGGAUAGAAGAUCACCUUUUGUGCAGGGGAGCCCGAGGGAGUUUUCUGGGGUGAUGGGACCUUCCUAUAUCUAGACUGAUGGGGUGCUUAUGCUCAUUUAUUUUAGAAAUAUUCACUGACUCCUUGGUGCCUUGGGGUCAGAUAGACAGGUAUCUGUCCCUGGGAAAUGACGGAGUUCUAAUGAUGGGGAAGGAUGAGGGACCAGCAGUGACUGUGGGAGAGGAGUGAAGAGGCCACAAUGGAGUCAGACCCUAACCCAGGAUGCCAGGUCUCCACAGAUAGCACCACGUGUAGGAGGGCUCUGAGGAGCAGAGAUUUCUGGAUCAGACCUGUGAACUACAUAAUCCUACUGCAGUUUCCUCACUGAGGGAUGGACAGGGUAGAGGCCAGCAGCUGGAGGACACCCUGAUCGUGGCUGGAUUGGAGCAGGGGACCUGGGGGAUUGAGUCAGAGAAAGGGACAGGCAGAAGGUAGCGACAGGGAGUUUGAGAGACAAAGGGAAGGGAAGAGAAGGGACCUUUCUCUGCUGACUUCACCUGCAUUUCUGUGUGACCAAAAGGAGACUCUUGUCUCCAAGGGUAGGGAAGAGGGCUGGCAAAAAGAGUGACAUUCUCAGCUCAAGUGCCCAGGAUAUCUGCCUUGCUCUUGAGUACCUAACACAGGAAGCCCAUGCUUUCUGUCAUGGUUGGAACUGCAGCUCAUAUCAUUUAGUGAAAAUCAAUCCAAUUAUGAAUCCCUCAACAUUAAAGUACUGAAAGAAAAUUAAGUGAACAGACUGAAAGAUACACACACCUUUGGAUAAAGUCCAAAGGUACGCUGACUGCAAUACUUACGGGAAUAUAGUCUAUCAGAAAAGAAGUUAGGUACCCCAGUGCAGUCAUUCAGACACCUGGGCAAUAUCUGAAAACAUAAAAAAAAAAAAAUGUAGUCCUUACUUCAAAAGCAACAUUAGCACUAGACACAAAGGGAUCAUGAUUUAAGGUUUAGAGGGAAACCAUAUGACUUCAUGGUGCUGUAUCCAUGAGAUCAAGUCUCAUCAAAUUAUACCCUUUAACUUGAAGGCUAUUUGUUAUAUGUAAAUUAUACUUCAUUAAAGAGAGUUUCAAAACAUAAAAUACAGAAGCAAA